UUAUUCUGACUACAAAAUUAUUCUGACUACAAAACUAUUCUGACUACAAAAACCCGAUGGAGUCUCAGAUCGUUCUGAGUCCAACAGGAAGUCAGAGUUCAGUGAUUUAAUUAGGCCGGAGCAGAAACCCAGCAGCUUAUGAAGGACCAACAAGAAUCUGCUGAGUCAUGCUAGCACCAGAGUGCCAAGUCACUGGUUGCUAUGGUGAUUUUUACCUGUGAUUUUCAAGAGUCUAGAAAUAUAAGGAGGGUGAAUAAAAGUUAAAGUAAUUAAAAGUCUAAACUUUAAUUUUCUCCAAAAGUAUAAAACUCAGUGGAGGAAUCUAAAACACCGAGAGGUGAAGGGUCAAAGCUACCAAGCUGCUCGUCUCGCGCCGCAACGCUAACGCAUCAGAGUCCAACUUCCUUUGACUUGUUCAGGCUUCAGCUGUGAAGCCCGGCUGACCUACAGGUCCAAACAGGACUGGGUUUUCUAACUCAGUCAGUUCCAUCAUGAAACUGUUUAUCUGAAGCUUCCUAAGCGUGUUGGACUUAGCAUCCCCAUGCUAACCUGAUGCUAAGCUAGCAUCUUAUUCAGUCUGGACGACUGACUGGACAUGAAGGACCAGGUGGGCCUCGAUUCUAACCAACAGGUCUGCAGCUCUAGUUUGGAUUUUAUUAUCUGAACUUGUGUUUUCUUAUUGUUGGAAGUUGUUUCAUAUUUCUGCUACAGAGAAAUAAUUACUCAGCUCUAAAUGUUACAUUUCAUCCACUCUUUAGCAGGAACUGUCAGAGUGUGACGUUAUUUUUAUUCCUGCCAGAGAAAACAUUUGUUUCCUUUUUUUAAAUUGGUCUCUGUCCUCCCCAACAGCAACUCCCACGUGCACGCCCACGCGCACGCCCACGUGCACGCAGAGCAGAGAGAUUUCAGGCUUGUGGCUGGUGAGGCCAACAGAGCAGCAGGCUUUACGUAACCCAGUUGGCCCCCAGACUGUGUUCGGGUUGAAUGGGGACAUCUCACUGCAACACACAGAGAAAAGCCUUUCUGUGCACACACACACCCCGACACACACACACACGCCGACACAGAUACACAAACACACACUAGUACCCAGAAAACGCUCACACAAAGGCGAGCAGGAACACUGUGUAUCCUCCACACACAUUUAAAGAGUGGAAACUAGGUUGGGACGUCCUGUUCACUUCUGCCCUCACAGCCAAUCAGAGCUCAGCUCUGUUGCACAGCUCUGCAGGCUGUCGCCCCGUGUAACCUGCACCAAAUGAGCUGCUGACCCUCAGUGUGUGUGUCCAUUACAUACAUCAGAUGAGCUGUGGGUCGUAAUAAUCAUCACAGCGCGAGCGGCGGAGGAUCUGGACUUUGGGUCAGUGGGACAGUCCAGAUUUAGAUGGAAAGAAACGCUGAAUGUUUGGGUCCAAUCAGCUGUGAAGGUUUGAACCAGAUAAAAAGGAUGAGUCGGCAUGGAGACAGCAGCAGCCGGACCGGAGACGGCGCAGCGUCAGGAACUGUCUGCAGACAGAACCUCUGUCAGCCGCCAUGAUGCAGCGAUCCAACAGGCUGGAGCAAAACCAAAACAUCAACACACCUUCUCACGGCGUUUCCUGGCCAGAAGGGAAACUGCGCCGGGAGACCCUGGAGGUGGUACAGAAACAUCCUGAUGGACCCAAAGCUUCCCAAACCAUCACACUCAUCCCGCCUAGAAGCCCCGCCCACCAGGUAAUGGAAAGGAAACGUCUGCAGAGAGCAGAGGGGAGGAUUUAUCUAAUCAGAUUAAGAUUCAUUCAUUCCAGGAUCAACCAAACUCUCGUUUCCUCCACUGGAACGACUGCUUCCAAUCCCAAAGUCAUUUUUUGUUUUCAAAGCAGUCCAGGUUCCUCUGGUUCUUCCUGCCCAGCAGCUGCUGGGAGACAGAAGGACUGAUGAUGAUCGCUCCCACUGCAGAGAAACCACAGAGCUCAGACUGCGGCAUCCGCAGUGCACAAAGCAGCGUUUUCACAGGUCCUUCCUCCCAUCACUGCUUCCAACAAACUCAGUGCCGAUAUUUGCAAAGCUUCAUUUUAAAUAACAUUCAUGGUGCUAUUGCAUGUUUUUUUUUGUUUUUGUGUAAUUAAUGAACAAAAACGUCAUCCUGCUACUUGAACAUCCUUUGCAUUGCAGCACAUUAUUUCCUAACUACACAGUAUUUUCUGUAAUAAUCUUUCACAGUAUAUAAUUCUUAAUCUUGUUUUUAAACAUCUCCUCCAUUCUCUGACCUUAUCAGGCAUCUUUUCUGCACAGAUACAUUUAAAAAAUCCAGUUUAUGACUAUAAAACCUCCAGGACACAAAAACAAGCAGAAACUCUUCAAAUCAAACUGAAACUGAUUGAUUUACAUCAUGUAAGCUGAUAAAAUCACCACCAGUUCACAAGUAGAACAAGAAGUAAAAAACUCCACCAAUAAUCCAAUUAAGGGACUAAAAAGGAGCCAACAGCCCCCCCCCCCUCACAGGUCAGAUUAAUCAGCACAGAAAUGUGGGUGUUGCUGUUCCAGCCAAUCGGACGGCUGCUCCGGUCCUGAGGAGCCAAUCACGUUGAGACAGAAGAGGAAAGGAGAGAUAAGACGGCGAGGGUUUAAUCCUGUCACAGGUUAAAUCUCUGGGCUUCAGGUUAUCAAAGCUGCCAUUAAUCAGUUCCAUCCCACAGAAAGACAGAGUCACCAAACGGGUUUCAUUUCUACGAUUUAUACAGUUUUUAGUUAUUUUUUUUUAGCUAUCCAGAUCGAUCUCAUCUGUAUAGAUCCUAGCAGAGACAGAUGCUCACUACAACCUUUUUCUGGACCACCAACAGAUGUUUAUGACAAACCGACAUCUGGGAUUUAUCCACGACAGGAAUCAUGGGUAAAAACUCAGUAUGGUAGAAAUUUAAAAAGAACCACUUCUGUUUUCAUUUACCCUGAAACUCUGGGUUGAGUUUCUGACAUUUCUGACUGUUUCCAACAGUAAAUAUCACAUUUCUCAUCUAAAACUUGUUCACAGCUCAUAUUUUAUAUGCAGCUGUUUAGAAACAGGCAGUAAAAUACUUUAAUAAACAAACUAAAAUAUUUGUACUCAUGUUCUUUAAAGGGUUUUCUUCUGAUAUUUAUGAAAAUUGCAUCCCUUCAUCCAUCUUCACAACAUUUAAUUUCCCUUAAGGAUUAAUAAAAUAUUUCUGAAUUGAAUCUGAAUUUUGAAUCCAGUGUUAAGAGAGCAGAGAGAGAACUUGCAUUAUUAUGCUGUUAUAAAUAUAUUACUUUAAAAUGGUCUGAAAACAGGAAUAUUAUCAUUUAUCAAAAUAAAUGUUCAGACAAUUUAUUAUCCAGCAAAACCUGUCACUGUGACAAGGUGUUACCUGGCUGAAGAUUACGGAAAGUAAGUUCCUGAAGGAAAAUGUUCCUUAAAGUAUUUAAUUUAUAAAUUAAAUCAGCAACAAAGUUUGGAGAAAAUAUUUACAAAC